AUUUAAAUAGUUUAUUAAAAAUAUUGAUUUGUGGUAUCAAAGAAAAUUAAUUUAAUUUUUAAAUU
rnacentral:tRNA from 2 species